rnacentral:rRNA from 1 species
GACGAGGUAGAUAGGCUGGGGGUGGAAGUGCAGCAAUGCAUGGAGCUGACCAGUACUAAUCGGUCGAGGGCUUAUCCAA